CAGUUGUGAGGAAGGUGGUGUCGUUAAUAGCGGCAUCAUUUGACGUUAGCAACAGAAGAAGCACCGGCUAACUCCGUGCCAGCAGCCGCGGUAAUACGGAGGGUGCGAGCGUUAAUCGGAAUUACUGGGCGUAAAGCGCAUGCAGGUGGUUUGUUAAGUCAGAUGUGAAAGCCCGGGGCUCAAACCUCGGAAACUGCUAUUUGAAAAACUGGCAGACUAGAGUACUGUAGGAGGGGGUAGAAUUUCAGGUGUAGCGGUGAAAAUGCGUAGAGAUCUGAAGGAAUACCGGUGGCGAAGGCGGCCCCUGGACAGAUACUGACACUCAGAUGCGAAAGCGUGGGGAGCAAACAGGAUUAGAUACCCUGGUAG
rnacentral:rRNA from 1 species